rnacentral:rRNA from 1 species
GACGAACGCUGGCGGCGUGCUUAGCACAUGCAAGUCGAACGGUGAAAGCGGAGCUUGCUCCGCUGGAUCAGUGGCGAACGGGUGAGUAACACGUGGGCAACCUGCCCCUCACUUCGGGAUAACUCCGGGAAACCGGGGCUAAUACCGGCUAUGACCUUCUUGGGCAUCCUUGGAGGUGGAAUGUUUUUCGGUGAGGGAUGGGCCCGCGGCCUAUCAGCUUGUUGGUGAGGUAGUGGCUCACCAAGGCGACGACGGGUAGCCGGCCUGAGAGGGCGACCGGCCACACUGGGACUGAGACACGGCCCAGACUCCUACGGGAGGCAGCAGUGGGGAAUAAUGCGCAAUGGGCGAAAGCCUGACGCAGCAACGCCGCGUGAGGGAUGACGGCCUUCGGGUUGUAAACCUCUUUUAGUAGGGAAGAAGCGAAAGUGACGGUACCUGCAGAAAAAGCACCGGCUAACUACGUGCCAGCAGCCGCAGUAA